rnacentral:rRNA from 1 species
GAUGAACGCUGGCGGCGUGCCUAAUACAUGCAAGUCGAGCGAACAGACGAGGAGCUUGCUCCUCUGACGUUAGCGGCGGACGGGUGAGUAACACGUGGAUAACCUACCUAUAAGACUGGGAUAACUUCGGGAAACCGGAGCUAAUACCGGAUAAUAUAUUGAACCGCAUGGUUCAAUAGUGAAAGACGGUUUUGCUGUCACUUAUAGAUGGAUCCGCGCCGCAUUAGCUAGUUGGUAAGGUAACGGCUUACCAAGGCAACGAUGCGUAGCCGACCUGAGAGGGUGAUCGGCCACACUGGAACUGAGACACGGUCCAGACUCCUGCGGGAGGCAGCAGUAGGGAAUCUUCCGCAAUGGGCGAAAGCCUGACGGAGCAACGCCGCGUGAGUGAUGAAGGUCUUCGGAUCGUAAAACUCUGUUAUUAGGGAAGAACAAAUGUGUAAGUAACUAUGCACGUCUUGACGGUACCUAAUCAGAAAGCCACGGCUAACUACGUGCCAGCAGCCGCGGUAAUACGUAGGUGGCAAGCGUUAUCCGGAAUUAUUGGGCGUAAAGCGCGCGUAGGCGGUUUUUUAAGUCUGAUGUGAAAGCCCACGGCUCAACCGUGGAGGGUCAUUGGAAACUGGAAAACUUGAGUGCAGAAGAGGAAAGUGGAAUUCCAUGUGUAGCGGUGAAAUGCGCAGAGAUAUGGAGGAACACCAGUGGCGAAGGCGACUUUCUGGUCUGUAACUGACGCUGAUGUGCGAAAGCGUGGGGAUCAAACAGG